rnacentral:rRNA from 1 species
CCUACGGGAGGCAGCAGUGGGGAAUAUUGGACAAUGGGCGCAAGCCUGAUCCAGCCAUACCGCGUGUGUGAAGAAGGCCUUCGGGUUGUAAAGCACUUUAAGCAGGGAGAAAAAGUUAUAAGUUAAUACCUUAUAGCCGUGAUGUUACCUGCAGAAUAAGCACCGGCUAAUUCCGUGCCAGCAGCCGCGGUAAUACGGAAGGUGCAAGCGUUAAUCGGAAUUACUGGGCGUAAAGCGCGCGUAGGUGGUUUGUUAAGUUGGAUGUGAAAGCCCUGGGCUCAACCUAGGAACUGCAUCCAAAACUAACUCACUAGAGUACGAUAGAGGGAGGUAGAAUUCACAGUGUAGCGGUGGAAUGCGUAGAUAUUAUGAAGAAUACCAGUGGCGAAGGCGGCCUCCUGGAUCUGUACUGACACUGAGGUGCGAAAGCGUGGGUAGCGAACAGGAUUAGAUACCCUGGUAGUCCACGCCGUAAACGAUGACAACUAGCUGUUGGAAGACAAUGUCUUUCAGUGGCGCAGCUAACGUUUUAAGUUGUCCGCCUGGGGAGUACGGCCGCAAGGCUAAAACUCAAAUGAAUGACGG